rnacentral:rRNA from 1 species
GAUGAACGCUGGCGGUGUGCCUAAUACAUGCAAGUCGAGCGAACAGACGAGGAGCUUACUCCUCUGACGUUAGCGGCGGACGGGUGAGUAACACGUGGAUAACCUACCUAUAAGACUGGGAUAACUUCGGGAAACCGGAGCUAAUACCGGAUAACAUGUUGAACCGCAUGGUUCAACAGUGAAAGACGGUCUUGCUGUCACUUAUAGAUGGAUCCGCGUCGCAUUAGCUAGUUGGUAAGGUAACGGCUUACCAAGGCAACGAUGCGUAGCCGACCUGAGAGGGUGAUCGGCCAUACUGGAACUGAGACACGGUCCAGACUCCUACGGGAGGCAGCAGUAGGGAAUCUUCCGCAAUGGGCGAAAGCCUGACGGAGCAACGCCGCGUGAGUGAAGAAGGUCUUCGGAUCGUAAAACUCUGUUAUUAGGGAAGAACAAAUGUGUAAGUAACUAUGCACGUCUUGACGGUACCUAAUCAGAAAGCCACGGCUAACUACGUG